rnacentral:rRNA from 1 species
CAAUAGUGUAUAUUAAAGUUGUUGCAGUUAAAAAGCUCGUAGUUGGAUUUCUGGCGGGAGCGAUCGGUCCUUCACUCAGUGUUGGAACCUGAUUGUCUCCUGCCAUCCAUGGAGAAAACUUAUCUGGCAUUAAGUUGUCGGGUAGGCAAUCUCCAUCUUUUACUGUGAAAAAAUUAGAGUGUUCAAAGCAGGCUUAUGCCGUUGAAUAUAUUAGCAUGGAAUAAUAAGAUAGGACUAUGGUACUAUUUUGUUGGUUUGUGCACCAUGGUAAUGAUUAAUAGGGACAGUUGGGGGUAUUCGUAUUCCAUUGUCAGAGGUGAAAUUCUUGGAUUUAUGGAAGACGAACUACUGCGAAAGCAUUUACCAAGGAUGUUUUCAUUAA